CACAUAAUCACAUAAUAACUUCCGCCCACAGUGCUAUUACGACGGCGGGUCAACGGCGGGUCACCACAUUAAGCCAUACUUUUAAAUCCACACUUUACCUGAAAAUUGCAUAUUUCUAAAUUGACUAUUUUUUUCUCUAUUCACUGUCAUUUAAACACACUAUAAUUAUAAUUGUAACUCCUAUAAUCUAAUUACUAGAUUUUAACCCGUGGUACACCGUGUGAACAAUUUAUUUUUUAAAGUUAGUAUACAUAAAAGUUUGCAAAUUGUAUCUAUUUAUAAAAUAUUUUUAUUUUAUAGUUUACAAUUGUUAUUAAGUAACGUCCUGCCAAACCCGUCCUGCCAACCCGUCCCGUAAAAAAACUAUUUAUUUUAUUAAUAUUGAUCUUAUUUAUGAUAUUUUUAUGAAUUAUUAUCUAAAUAUUUUGUAAUUUUGUAGUAAUUAAAUGCUAUCAAAUAUCUUUGCGGUUUGAUGAUUAUAAUCGAAUUGUUAUAGUCAUGGAGAAAAACAAUAUCAAAAAUGAUAAUUUUGUAGUAAUUAAAUGAUAUUAAAUAUUUUGGAAGUUUAAUUUUAGUAACUAAACGUGUAGUUAAUGUGGAGAGGUUUAGGGAAGAUUGUUAAAUAUCAAAUAUUUAAUUUGAAGAUUUUUUUUCUAAUUAUCAAAAACAAACAUUAAAAUCCAAUGGCAGCCAUUGUAAAUAAGUCCCAACUACAGGAUUUAUUUCACAAAAUGACUACAAAAAUAUAUAUAUAUAUUUCAUA
rnacentral:sRNA from 1 species